rnacentral:rRNA from 1 species
GACGUAGGGCGCGAGCGUUGUCCGGAUUUAUUGGGCGUAAAGAGCUCGUAGGCGGCUUGUCGCGUCGUCCGUGAAAACCUGCGGCUCAACUGCAGGCUGGCGGUCGAUACGGGCAGGCUGGAGUUCGGUAGGGGAGACUGGAAUUCCUGGUGUAGCGGUGAAAUGCGCAGAUAUCAGGAGGAAUACCGAUGGCGAAGGCAGGUCUCUGGGCUAUAACUGACGCUCAUGCACGAAAGCGUGGGGAGCAAACAGG